ACUGGGAUUAGAUACCCCACUAUGCUCAGCCAUAAACUUAGACGUUAUUAUACAAUAAACGUCCGCCAGGGUACUACGAGCAUUAGCUUAAAACCCAAAGGACUUGGCGGUGCCUCAGACCCCCCUAGAGGAGCCUGUUCUAGAACCGAUAACCCCCGUUAAACCUCACCACUUCUGGUCAUCCCCGCCUAUAUACCGCCGUCGUCAGCUUACCCUGUGAAGGACUAAUAGUAAGCAAAAUGAAUAUAAUCCAAAACGUCAGGUCGAGGUGUAGCGAACGAAGUGGGAAGAAAUGGGCUACAUUUUCUUUAAUAAGAAUAAUACGAAUAGCACUAUGAAAACUAGUGCUCGAAGGAGGAUUUAGCAGUAAAAAGGAAAUAGAGUGUCCUUUUGAACCCGGCUCUGAGGCGCGUACACACCGCCCGUCACUCUCCCCGCUAAAUAGCAACAAACGUUAUUAACAUAAAAGCACAGACAAGG
rnacentral:rRNA from 1 species